ensembl:lncRNA
AUGUAUUUAAAACUCUUUCCAGGUUACUUUCUAAUAGAUUAUUGCCCUUAUAGUUUAAAAUCUGCUUUAUUUCUAGAUUCAGUUUUUGAGUUUCAUCUUUUGUUUCUUGAGCCUGCUUGCUUUGAGCUUUCCACAGCCAUGCUGCAGCUUUCCACAGCCAUGCUGUCAGAUAUUUUCCCCUUGCUUCAGUAUUUAUGUGCACUGGGAUCAAGUUGUCUCUUUAAUUUCCUUCAAUAAACUUAAUAGACUGAGACUUGUUUCCACGUCUCUUCAAUUCUUUGCACAGCUGGAGGAGGGGCGGUGGGUGUUGGGCUCCUGGCCCUUCUCCACUAAGCUGUUUCCACCCACCUUCCUUCUACAGUUCUGUUUUGGUUGCGGUGUUGGGAAGAUGAAUAAGACCUGUUGCUUCUGUUUUUUCUCAAGUCUUGGUGCUAUCCUUACUAAAGAGGAACAAUGAGCUCUCUUUCAUGCCCAGGCUCGUAGAUUCAUUGUGUAUUGGCUGUGACAAAGAUGCUUCAGGAACCCACAUUUCUGACAAGUCCUGUGGAAAGAGCAUGCAGGAGAGGAAAUAGCCGGUGUAACUUUUUCUUGAGGACUGCAAAGCAGUUGCUCUGGUGGAGCCUCAGGUGAGAUAAAAAGAAGGAGCAGUUUUCAAAACAGUGCCCUCAGUUCCUAGGAACUCAGAUCAGCCUUCUGGGCUGUGCCUGGCCAAGGCAUAGAGCAGUAUUCCUUGAUGGUCUCCACAGACCCUGUAUUGCAGAGGGGUAGUGCAAGGUACAGUGGUGUGCUUAGGGCCGCACAACGAAUCUUUGGCAGAACCAGGGUUAGAAAUUGUCCUAGGUUACAAUGUAAAGAUAUGCCUAAAAGUAUGUAUUCUAUCACCAUCUGCUGAAACCAGGUGGGGCAGUGAUUCUUAUCUCUGUGGGAGAUACCCUCUGCUAAUGGGUCAUCUGUUAAAAACCAGGUGAGGCAAUGUUCUUUAUCUUUCCCAUGACCCAUCCUUCCUCCAGGAAAAUAUCUUCUGCGAAUGGGCCAUUGAGUCCCACUGCAUGACUGAUAAAAUUACCCAUUGUGAGGUUCUCCACCCAGGGGGAGGAGCCAAACAUUUCCUACCUAGAUAAAAACUGGGAUUUGGAACACCAAAGCAGCCCUUAUCCACAGGUUUCCACAUGACCAGAGCUACCAGACCUUACUACAGAAUCACUGCUCCAAGAAGACCACUGCAUCUGGACUGCUACCACCACCCUAACUAGCUGGGUGUCAGGUUGUAUUCUGAUUCUGUCCGUGGUUUUUCUUUUGUACUAUUGCAUGUAUUUUAUUUUUCUGUUUUUUCCUAUUAAAUUGUAUUUCUGACUUGGAGUCUCUCACUGGUUUUGAUUUCAUUUUUCCUAUUAAGUUGUUUUUCUGCCUUGAAGUCUCCCACUGGUUUUGCUUUCAAAACUGUUACAUAAAUUAAGAACCGCAAGUUCCUAAUUCAAACAUGGCUUUCAUAUACCUGGCAAGUGUUUUCCAUCUUCAAUUCAAGCGUUGCAAUUCAAUGUAGAGCAGUCUUGCUUAGUCUUGUGGCUUUCAUAUACCUGGCAAGUGUUUCCCAUCUU